rnacentral:RNase_MRP_RNA from 2 species
CCCUCGUCCGACAAAUCGCCAUCGAAGCUCACAAACGGAGAUUCUCCUUUCGGGGGGAGUCUCAAAUUCAUAAAGCUUUGGGAGAAAGUCCCCGGACACACGUUACUUCUCUUUACCGGGAAGCCAAAACGCCGCGGAAACGCGCCGCCAUAGAAGCACAGCGGCUGACCUCCAAGACCUGCGUCCGGACACAAUGUGCUUUUUCACACCCCACCCCGUCGCUACAUCGUCGGUCUUCUCUGCUCUUUCGAGACCCUGCUUUCGCUCUCCAGGACCUUUUGGAUGAAGAUAUGAGUCCGCGCCUGGGGGUUUUUGGGAGUUUGGGACCUUGGAGUGUUGGGGGAGCCUUUGAUGACGGGGUGGCCGUUGGAGAGGGCUUCGCUUGCCGGGCGAAUUCAAGGGUUGGUCGGAGGGUCUUUCGUCGAGAUCGAUAGGUAUGCGAUUGCCCGCCCAUAACCUCUUUACUGAGGUUUGGGUGUGUUACUCGAUGGGGCUUAUUCUUGGUGCGAGG